GAUGAAGAACGCAGCGAAAUGCGAUAAGUAAUGUGAAUUGCAGAAUUCAGUGAAUCAUCGAAUCUUUGAACGCACAUUGCGCCCGCCAGUAUUCUGGCGGGCAUGCCUGUUCGAGCGUCAUUACAACCAUCAGGCCCCCGGGCCUGGCGUUGGGGAUCGGCGGAGCCCCCCGUGGGCACACGCCGUCCCCCAAAUGCAGUGGCGGUCCCGCCGCAGCUUCCAUCGCGUAGUAGCUAACACCUCGCGACUGGAGAGCGGCGCGGCCACGCCGUAAAACACCCAACUCUUCUGAAGUUGACCUCGAAUCAGGUAGGAAUACCCGCUGAACUUAAGCAUAUCAAUAAGCGGAGGA
rnacentral:misc_RNA from 1 species